rnacentral:tRNA from 1 species
GUCAGGAUGGCCGAGCGGUCUAAGGCGCCAGACUCAAGGUUUCCUUGCCUACCCAGUAGGUCGAGCUGUUCUGGUCCUCUCUGAGGGCGUGGGUUCGAAUCCCACUUCUGACA